GGUUGCAAAGCCUGCCUGAAAACAAAACCGUGAGGGGGUACUCGUACGGGCUGGAGCCCCAAAGCGGACAAUAUUGACCAUGGGCUGGGCUAUGACAAUUGGUAUCAGAGCCGACCCUCGUUCCUCUGGCCGGUGGUGGGGCAAACCUCAGCGAGGACGCUGAGUCCCCAAGGCGGGGUGUAUGUGGCAAGGCCAGCACACCUUAGGCAAAUCCCACAUCGGUUAAGUACGAGGGGGUGGUCCUGUACAUAAGAGGGGUGGUUCCAGAACAUGGUUGAGGCCUUUUGGGCGGGUUGCAAAGCCUGCCUGAAAACAAAACCGUGAGGGGGUACUCGUACGGGCUGGAGCCCCAAAGCGGACAAUAUUGACCAUGGGCUGGGCCAUGACA
rnacentral:lncRNA from 1 species